AGCUCCAAUAGCGUAUAUUAAAGUUGCUGCAGUUAAAAAGCUCGUAGUUGCAUUUCCGAGGCAAGGGAUUAGUCCGACCUUUGGUGGGUAUUUAAUCCUCUUGCCUCGUCCUUGAGUGGUGCUUCUUGGUAUUAAGUUAUCGAGGAGAUAGCCGCUCAUCGUUUACUGUGAGAAAAUUAGAGUGUUCAAAGCAGGCUUAUGCCGUUGAAUAUAUUAGCAUGGAAUAAUAAGAUAGGACCUCGGUACUAUUUUGUUGGUUUGAGAACCAAGGUAAUGAUGAAUAGGGACAGUUGGGGGUAUUCGUAUUCAGUUGUCAGAGGUGAAAUUCUUAGAUUAAGGGAAGACGAACAAAAGCGAAAGCAUUUACCAAGGAUGUUUUCA
rnacentral:rRNA from 1 species